GUGGCAGGGAGGUUAGUGCAGUGCAAACACACUGGCAGGAGCACUGGAUUGACUCCGCCAGUGCGUCUGCACUGCACUAACCUCCCUGCCAC